GACGUAGGGCGCGAGCGUUGUCCGGAAUUAUUGGGCGUAAAGAGCUCGUAGGCGGUGUGUCACGUCGGCCGUGAAAACCUGCAGCUUAACUGUGGGCGUGCGGUCGAUACGGGCAUCACUGGAGUUCGGCAGGGGAGACUGGAAUUCCUGGUGUAGCGGUGAAAUGCGCAGAUAUCAGGAGGAACACCGAUGGCGAAGGCAGGUCUCUGGGCCACUACUGACGCUGAGAAGCGAAAGCAUGGGGAGCGAACAGG
rnacentral:rRNA from 1 species